CAGCCAUGCCGCGUGUGUGAAGAAGGCCUUUUGGUUGUAAAGCACUUUAAGCAGUGAAGAAGACUCUUCGGUUAAUACCCGGAGACGAUGACAUUAGCUGYMGAAUARGCMCCGGCUAACUCUGUGCCAGCAGCCGCGGUAAUACAGAGGGUGCAAGCGUUAAUCGGAAUUACUGGGCGUAAAGCGAGCGUAGGUGGCUUGAUAAGUCAGAUGUGAAAUCCCCGGGCUUAACCUGGGAACUGCAUCUGAAACUGUUAGGCUAGAGUAGGUGAGAGGGAAGUAGAAUUUCAGGUGUAGCGGUGAAAUGCGUAGAGAUCUGAAGGAAUACCGAUGGCGAAGGCAGCUUCCUGGCAUCAUACUGACACUGAGGCUCGAAAGCGUGGGUAGCAAACAGGAUUAGAUACCCUGGUAGUCCACGCCGUAAACGAUGUCUACUAGUCGUUGGGUCCCUUGAGGACUUAGUGACGCAGCUAACGCAAUAAGUAGACC
rnacentral:rRNA from 1 species